rnacentral:rRNA from 1 species
UACAGAGGUCUCGAGCGUUGUUCGGAUUCAUUGGGCGUAAAGGGUGCGUAGGCGGCGUGGCAAGUCUGAUGUGAAAUCCCGGGGCCCAACCCCGGAACUGCAUUGGAUACUGCCAUGCUAGAGUACUGGAGAGGAGAUUGGAAUUUACGGUGUAGCAGUGAAAUGCGUAGAUAUCGUAAGGAAGACCAGUGGCGAAGGCGAAUCUCUGGACAGUUACUGACGCUGAGGCACGAAGGCCAGGGGAGCAAACGGG